UUCAUCAGUUGAAGACUGCUACUCUAAAGCAGAGGUACGUUCAUCAGUUGAAGACUGCUACUCUAAAGCAGAGGUACGUUCAUCAGUUGAAGACUGCUACUCUAAAGCAGAGGUACGUUCAUCAGUUGAAGACUGCUACUCUAAAGCAGAGGUACGUUCAUCAGUUGAAGACUGCUACUCUAAAGCAGAGGUACGUUCAUCAGUUGAAGACUGCUACUCUAAAGCAGAGGUACGUUCAUCAGUUGAAGACUGCUACUCUAAAGCAGAGGUACGUUCAUCAGUUGAAGACUGCUACUCUAAAGCAGAGGUACGUUCAUCAGUUGAAGACUGCUACUCUAAAGCAGAGGUACGUUCAUCAGUUGAAGACUGCUACUCUAAAGCAGAGGUACGUUCAUCAGUUGAAGACUGCUACUCUGAAGUAUGGUUAUUUUCAU